CGGAGGAAAAGAAACUAACAAGGAUUCCCCUAGUAACUGCGAGUGAAGCGGGAAAAGCUCAAAUUUAAAAUCUGGCGGUCUCCGGCCGUCCGAGUUGUAAUUUAGAGAAGCGUUAUCCGUGCUGGACCGUGUAUAAGUCUCCUGGAAUGGAGCGUCAUAGAGGGUGAGAAUCCCGUCUUUGACACGGACUACCAGUGCAUUGUGAUGCGCUCUCGACGAGUCGAGUUGUUUGGGAAUGCAGCUCAAAAUGGGUGGUAAAUGCCAUCUAAAGCUAAAUAUUGGCGAGAGACCGAUAGCGAACAAGUACCGUGAGGGAAAGAUGAAAAGAACUUUGGAAAGAGAGUUAAACAGUACGUGAAAUUGUCGAAAGGGAAACGGUUGCAGUCAGUCGCGUUCGCCGGGGAUCAACCUUGCUUUUGCUUGG
rnacentral:rRNA from 1 species